rnacentral:tRNA from 1 species
GCGUUCGUAGCCCAAUGGAUACGGCACCCGACUUCGGAUCGGGAGAUUGCAGGUUCGAGUCCUGUCGAGCGCACCA